AGAGUUUGAUCCUGGCUCAGGAUGAACGCUGGCGGCGUGCUUAACACAUGCAAGUCGAACGAGAAUCCAGUGAAGGAGUUUUCGGACAACGGAUCUGGAGGAAAGUGGCGGACGGGUGAGUAACGCGUGAGCAAUCUGCCUUGGAGUGGGGAAUAACGGUUGGAAACAGCCGCUAAUACCGCAUGAUGCGUCUGGGAGGCAUCUCUCUGGACGCCAAAGAUUUAUCGCUCUGAGAUGAGCUCGCGUCUGAUUAGCUUGUUGGCGGGGUAAAGGCCCACCAAGGCGACGAUCAGUAGCCGGACUGAGAGGUUGGCCGGCCACAUUGGGACUGAGACACGGCCCAGACUCCUACGGGAGGCAGCAGUGGGGAAUAUUGGGCAAUGGGCGCAAGCCUGACCCAGCAACGCCGCUGAAGGAAGAAGGCUUUCGGGUUGUAAACUAUCUUUUCUGAGGGACGAAGAAAGUGACGGUACCUCAGGAAUAAGCCACGGCUAACUACGCGCCAGCAGCCGCGGUAAUACGUAGGUGGCAAGCGUUAUCCGGAUUUAUUGGGUGUAAAGGGCGUGUAGGCGGGAAAGCAAGUCAGAUGUGAAAACUCAGGGCUCAACCCUGAGCCUGCAUUUGAAACUGUUUUUCUUGAGUGCUGGAGAGGCAAUCGGAAUUCCGUGUGUAGCGGUGAAAUGCGUAGAUAUACGGAGGAACACCAGUGGCGAAGGCGGAUUGCUGGACAGUAACUGACGCUGAGGCGCGAAAGCGUGGGGGAGCAAACAGGAUUAGAUACCCUGGUAGUCCACGCCGUAAACGAUGGAUACUAGGUGUGGGGGGGACUGACCCCCUCCGUGCCGCAGCUAACGCAAUAAGUAUCCCACCUGGGGAGUACGAUCGCAAGGUUGAAACUCAAAGGAAUUGACGGGGGCCCGCACAAGCGGUGGAGUAUGUGGUUUAAUUCGAAGCAACGCGAAGAACCUUACCAGGGCUUGACAUCCUGCUAACGAACCCAGAGAUGGAUUAGGUGCCCUUCGGGGAAAGCAGAGACAGGUGGUGCAUGGUUGUCGUCAGCYCGUGUCGUGAGAUGUUGGGUUAAGYCCCGCAACGAGCGCAACCCUUAUUGUUAGUCUGCUACGCAAGAGCACUCUAGCGAGACUGCCGUUGACAAAACGGAGGAAGGUGGGGACGACGUCAAAUCAUCAUGCCCCUUACGUCCUGGGCCACACACGUACUACAAUGGCGGCCAACAAAGAGAGGCAAGACCGCGAGGUGGAGCAAAUCUCAAAAAGCCGUCCCAGUUCGGAUCGCAGGCUGCAACCCGCCUGCGUGAAGUUGGAAUCGCUAGUAAUCGCGGAUCAGCAUGCCGCGGUGAAUACGUUCCCGGGCCUUGUACACACCGCCCGUCACACCAUGAGAGUCGGGAACACCCGGGGUCCGUAGCCUGACCGCAAGGGGGGCGCGGCCGAAGGUGGGUUCGAUAAUUGGGGUGAAGUCGUAACAAGGUAACC
rnacentral:rRNA from 1 species